rnacentral:tRNA from 1 species
GGCGUGUUCGUCUAGCGGCCCAGGACGCCGCCCUCUCAAGGCGGAGAUCACGGGUUCGAAUCCCGUACACGCUACGA